CCUACGGGUGGCAGCAGUGGGGAAUAUUGGACAAUGGGGGGAACCCUGAUCCAGCCAUGCCGCGUGUGUGAAGAAGGCCCUCGGGUUGUAAAGCACUUUCAGUGAGGAAGAACGCCUGGUGGUUAAUACCCAUCAGGAAAGACAUCACUCACAGAAGAAGCACCGGCUAACUCCGUGCCAGCAGCCGCGGUAAUACGGAGGGUGCGAGCGUUAAUCGGAAUUACUGGGCGUAAAGCGCGCGUAGGUGGCUUGAUAAGCCGGUUGUGAAAGCCCCGGGCUCAACCUGGGAACGGCAUCCGGAACUGUCAAGCUAGAGUGCAGGAGAGGAAUGUAGAAUUCCCGGUGUAGCGGUGAAAUGCGUAGAGAUCGGGAGGAAUACCAGUGGCGAAGGCGGCCUUCUGGACUGACACUGACACUGAGGUGCGAAAGCGUGGGUAGCAAACAGGAUUAGAUACCCCUGUAGUC
rnacentral:rRNA from 1 species